rnacentral:tRNA from 1 species
AAUGAGAUGCCUGAAUAAAGGGUUACCUUGAUAGGGUAAAUAAAGUAAAUAUAUUACUCUCAUUA